UUACGGCCAAAUCACGUUGAAACAGCCGUUCUUGUACGAUCACUGAAGUUAAGCAACGUCGAACCUUGUCAGUACCUAGAUGGAUGACCGCUUGGGUAUACCAGGUGUUGUAAG